UGUGCAACACUGUCAAACGGAGACAGCUCUAAGCUAAAUUAAUUUAAUACCGACAUUUUUUGUUUAAAUUCGACCAGUUUAAUAUUAUUUAGAAAUAGAAUUGAUCUCUGUGUGCAUUUAAAAUUCAUUUUAUAAAUAAAAAGAAGUCGAUAUGAUGUUUCUAACACCAUUGCUUGCUGAUUAAGCAAUACUAUCGGAACUAUCGGUUCAAACAUUAACGAUAUGCAGUACCCAUCGAUAUUUCUCCAGACCAAAAUUACUGCUGACGCAUUUAAAUUCAAUGUGUUAGUUGCUUGCAAAUUAAUUUACCAACAUAGCAAUUUUUACAAGAUGUUUAAUCUUAUCUCUGUAAACAAAGUGUUAAGUGAAUGUUAACUAACAGCUGAAUUAAAUAACAUCUCUGUUUUGGCA